GGAAUGAGACACGGCCCAGAUUCUUACGGGAGGCAGCAGUGGGGAAUAUUGCACAAUGGGCGCAAGCCUGAUGCAGCGACGCCGCCUGAGGGAUGACGGCCUUCGGGUUGUAAACCUCUUUCACCAGGGACGAAGCGCAAGUGACGGUACCUGGAGAAGAAGCACCGGCCAACUACGUGCCAGCAGCCGCGGUAAUACGUAGGGUGCGAGCGUUGUCCGGAAUUACUGGGCGUAAAGAGCUCGUAGGCGGUUUGUCGCGUCGUCUGUGAAAUUCUGCAACUCAAUCGUAGGCGUGCCGGCGAUACGGGCAGACUUGAGUACUACAGGGGAGACUGGAAUUCCUGGUGUAGCGGUGAAAUGCGCAGAUAUCAGGAGGAACACCGGUGGCGAAGGCGGGUCUCUGGGUAGUAACUGACGCUGAGGAGCGAAAGCGUGGGUAGCGAACAGGAUUAGAUACCCUGGUAGUCCACGCCGUAAACGGUGGGUACUAGGUGUGGGGCUCAUUUCACGAGUUCCGUGCCGUAGCUAACGCAUUAAGUACCCCGCCUGGGGAGUACGGCCGCAAGGCUAAAACUCAAAGGAAUUGACGGGGGCCCGCACAAGCGGCGGAGCAUGUGGAUUAAUUCGAUGCAACGCGAAGAACCUUACCUGGGUUUGACAUACACCAGACGCAUGUAGAGAUACAUGUUCCCUUGUGGUUGGUGUACAGGUGGUGCAUGGCCGUCGUCAGCUCGUGUCGUGAGAUGUUGGGUUAAGUCCCGCAACGAGCGCAACCCUUGUCCUGUAUUGCCAGCGGGUUAUGCCGGGGACUUGCAGGAGACUGCCGGGGUCAACUCGGAGGAAGGUGGGGAUGACGUCAAGUCAUCAUGCCCCUUAUGUCCAGGGCUUCACACAUGCUACAAUGGCUGGUACAGAGGGCUGCGAGACCGUGAGGUGGAGCGAAUCCCUUAAAGCCAGUCUCAGUUCGGAUUGGGGUCUGCAACUCGACCCCAUGAAGUCGGAGUCGCUAGUAAUCGCAGAUCAGCAACGCUGCGGUGAAUACGUUCCCGGGCCUUGUACACACCGCCCGUCACGUCCUGAACGUCGGUAAC
rnacentral:rRNA from 1 species